GUCAGUGUGGUUUAGUGGCUUGAGUGUUGGUCUAGGACCCCAGAGACCAGGGUUGAAACCCUGCUCAGCCA